rnacentral:rRNA from 1 species
UGAAUACGAGACGCUACGGCGUCGAAGCAGUCUAUGUCAUACUUCCAAGAAAAGCUCGCAAUGUCAUAAACAAAUAAUGCCUGUACCAUAACCGACACAGGUGGGUAGGUAGAGUAUACUAAGGGGCGCGAGAUAACUCUCUCUAAGGAACUCGGCAAAAUGACUCCGUAACUUCGGGAGAAGGAGUGCCUUAUUUAUAAGGUUGCAAUAACAAGAUCCAAGCAACUGUUUAUCAAAAACACAGGUCUCCGCUAAGUCGUAAGACGAUGUAUGGGGGCUGACGCCUGCCCAGUGCCAGAAGGUUAAAGAAGUUGGUUAGCAUUCGCGAAGCUGAUAACUGAAGCCCUGGUGAACGGCGGCCGUAACGAUAACGGUCCUAAGGUAGCGAAAUUCCUUGUCGGGUAAGUUCCGACCCGCACGAAAGGCGUAAUGAUUUGGAUACUGUCUCGGAGAGGGGCUCGGUGAAAUAGACUUGUCUGUGAAGAUGCGGACUACCUGCACCUGGACAGAAAGACCCUAUGAAGCUUUACUGUAACUUGAAAUUGAAAUUGGACUUUAUUUGCGCAGCAUAGGUGGGAGGCGUUGAGAGUAUUCUUGCGGGAAUAUUGGAGCCAUCAGUGAGAUACCACUCUUGUAAUGUUAGAUUUCUAACUUUGUAUCCUAAUUGGGUCAAAGAACAGUUUAAGGCGGGCAGUUUGACUGGGGCGGUCGCCUCCCAAACGGUAACGGAGGCGUACAAAGGUUUCCUCUGAACGGGUAGAAAUCGUAUCUAGAGUGUAAAGGCAUAAGGAAGCUUGACUGUGAGACCUACAAGUCGAGCAGGGACGAAAGUCGGUCUUAGUGAUCUGACGGUGCUGAGUGGAAAGGCCGUCACUCAACGGAUAAAAGUUACUCUAGGAUAACAGGCUGAUCUCCCCCAAGAGUUCACAUCGACGGGGAGGUUUGGCACCUCGAUGUCGGCUCAUCGCAUCCUGGGGCGGUAGUACGUCCCAAGGGUUGGGCUGUUCGCCCAUGAAAGCGGUACGCAAGCUGGGUUCAGAACGUCGUGAGACAGUUCGGUCCAUAUCCGGUGUAGGCGUUAGAAUAUUGAGAGGAGCCUUCUUUAGUACGAGAGGACCGAGAAGGACAUACCUCUGGUGUACCAGUUAUCGUGCCAACGGUAAACGCUGGGUAGCUAUGUAUGGAGAGGAUAACCGCUGAAAGCAUCUAAGUGGGAAGCCCACCUCAAGAUAAG